AAUUUCCCCCAUGUUGUCCCCCUUUCACUCCAUCACCACGAAAUAACAACAUAUGGCCUGCACGAAGUGAACCACAAUCAGUAUCCGUGUGGUUCGUGCUGGGGUGGAUCUUGGCUCUAAUAAUAGGAAUUAGCUUAAUCGCAUGGACGAUUUACAUUUGCCGCCUAAAAAUAAUAGGGCCGAAAGGGGACAAAGGGGACCAAGGGGAACAAGGGAAGCAAGGGCCUAAAGGGGACAAAGGGGACAAAGGGGACAAAGGUGACAAAGGCGAGAAGGGGCCGCCAGGGGAGAAGGGGCCGAAAGGGGAGAAAGGGGAUCCAGGCUGCAAGUGCCGCCACGGCUGCGGCGAGUGCAAUUGUUAGCUACAAGGAAAAGAUAACAUGGCCUUGGUAACUGACGGGCAUGUGCGAAUCUUGUGGAAUCAGCCAUCAUCUAAUAACAAAGACUGAUGUCAAAGUUUUGAAUUGAAUAUUGCAAAUGUUAUAUUCAAUCGUGGGUUUGCUGUGAGCUUUGAACAUUGGUUUUGAUGUGAUGUACUUGUAUGGUUUGGAAUAGUUGUUUUAAUUUGGAAUUAUAAUAUUUUGGCUUAUAAAUAAGGUUAGUGGUAUUUGUGGAA